AGAGUUUGAUCAUGGCUCAGAACGAACGCUGGCGGCAUGCCUAACACAUGCAAGUCGAACGAGACCUUCGGGUCUAGUGGCGCACGGGUGCGUAACGCGUGGGAAUCUGCCCUUGGGUUCGGAAUAACUUCGGGAAACUGAAGCUAAUACCGGAUGAUGUCGUAAGACCAAAGAUUUAUCGCCCAAGGAUGAGCCCGCGUAGGAUUAGCUAGUUGGUGAGGUAAAGGCUCACCAAGGCGACGAUCCUUAGCUGGUCUGAGAGGAUGAUCAGCCACACUGGGACUGAGACACGGCCCAGACUCCUACGGGAGGCAGCAGUGGGGAAUAUUGGACAAUGGGCGAAAGCCUGAUCCAGCAAUGCCGCGUGAGUGAUGAAGGCCCUAGGGUUGUAAAGCUCUUUUACCCGGGAUGAUAAUGACAGUACCGGGAGAAUAAGCCCCGGCUAACUCCGUGCCAGCAGCCGCGGUAAUUC
rnacentral:rRNA from 1 species